GUGAGGAAUAUUGGUCAAUGGGCGGGAGCCUGAACCAGCCAAGUCGCGUGAAGGAAGAAGGAUCUAUGGUUCGUAAACUUCUUUUGCAGGGGAAUAAAGUGCAGGACGUGUCCUGUUUUGUAUGUACCCUGAGAAUAAGGAUCGGCUAACUCCGUGCCAGCAGCCGCGGUAAUACGGAGGAUCCGAGCGUUAUCCGGAUUUAUUGGGUUUAAAGGGUGCGUAGGUGGUUUGAUAAGUCAGCGGUGAAAGUUUGCAGCUUAACUGUAAAAAUGCCGUUGAAACUGUCGGACUUGAGUGUAGAUGAGGUAGGCGGAAUGCGUGGUGUAGCGGUGAAAUGCAUAGAUAUCACGCAGAACUCCGAUUGCGAAGGCAGCUUACUAGGCUACAACUGACACUGAAGCACGAAAGCGUGGGGAUCAAACAGGAUUAGAAACCCGUGUAGUCC
rnacentral:rRNA from 1 species